CGUGGAGACAGGUGGUGCAUGGCUGUCGUCAGCUCGUGUCGUGAGAUGUUGGGUUAAGUCCCGCAACGAGCGCAACCCUCACCUCUUGUUGCCAUCAGGUCAUGCUGGGCACUCUAGAGCAACUGCCCCGGUCAACGGGGAGGAAGGCGGGGAUGACGUCAAGUCAUCAUGCCCCUUACGUCCUGGGCUACACACGUGCUACAAUGGCCGGUACAAAGGGAUGCCACACCGCGAGGUAGAGCUAAACCCAAAAAGCCGGUCUAAGUUCAGAUUGGAGUCUGCAACUCGACUCCAUGAAGGAGGAAUCGCUAGUAAUCGCGCAUCAGCACGGCGCGGUGAAUACGUUCCCGGGCCUUGUACACACCGCCCGUCACACCACGAAAGCCAGCUGUACUCGAAGUCGCUGAG
rnacentral:rRNA from 1 species